rnacentral:rRNA from 1 species
GCUUUACUGUAGCCUGGAAUUGGGUUCGGGCUUCGCUUGCGCAGGAUAGGUGGGAGGCUUUGAAGCUGCCCUUGUGGGGGGUAGUGGAGCCAAUGGUGAGAUACCACUCUGGCGAGGCUAGAAUUCUAACCUUAUAACCGUAAUCCGGUUAAAGGAACCGUUUCAGGUGGGCAGUUUGACUGGGGCGGUCGCCUCCUAAAAGGUAACGGAGGCGCGCAAAGGUUCUCUCAGGCUGGUUGGAAAUCAGCCAUAGAGUGUAAAAGGCAUAAGAGAGCUUGACUGUGAGACCUACAAGUCGAACAGGGACGAAAGUCGGUCUUAGUGAUCCGACGGCAGAGCGUGGAAUCGCCGUCGCUAAACGGAUAAAAAGUUA